GAUGAACGCUGGCGGCGUGCCUAAUACAUGCAAGUCGAGCGAACAGACAAGGAGCUUGCUCCUUUGACGUUAGCGGCGGACGGGUGGGUAACACGUGGGUAACCUACCUAUAAGACUGGAAUAACUCCGGGAAACCGGGGCUAAUGCCGGAUAACAUUUAGAGCCGCAUGGUUCUAAAGUGAAAGAUGGUUUUGCUAUCACUUAUAGAUGGACCCGCGCCGUAUUAGCUAGUUGGUAAGGUAAUGGCUUACCAAGGCAACGAUACGUAGCCGACCUGAGAGGGUGAUCGGCCACACUGGAACUGAGACACGGUCCAGACUCCUACGGGAGGCAGCAGUAGGGAAUCUUCCGCAAUGGGCGAAAGCCUGACGGAGCAACGCCGCGUGAGUGAUGAAGGGUUUCGGCUCGUAAAACUCUGUUAUUAGGGAAGAACAAACGUGUAAGUAACUGUGCACGUCUUGACGGUACCUAAUCAGAAAGCCACGGCUAACUACGUGCCAGCAGCCGCCGUAACAC
rnacentral:rRNA from 1 species